rfam:Ovis aries breed Texel chromosome 17, whole genome shotgun sequence.
UCCCUGGUGGUUCAGACGGUAAAGCAUCUGCCUGCAAUGUAGGACACCCGGGUUCGAUUCCUGGGUUGGGAA